rnacentral:rRNA from 1 species
CGUGUAGGCGGUGCGGUAAGUCGGGCGUAAAAAUCCUGGGCUUAACCCGGGAUGGCCGUUCGAGACUGCCGUGCUAGGGUGUGGGAGAGGGAAGUGGAAUUCCCGGUGUAGCGGUGAAAUGUGUAGAUAUCGGGAGGAACACCGGUGGCGAAGGCGGCUUCCUGGACCACGACCGACGCUGAGGCGCGAAAGCUAGGGGAGCAAACAGGAUUAGAUACCCUGGUAGUCCUAGCCCUAAACGAUGAGCACUUGGUGUGGCCUUUCACGAGGCCGUGCCGGAGCUAACGCGUUAAGUGCUCCGCCUGGGGAGUACGGUCGCAAGGCUGAA